rnacentral:lncRNA from 1 species
GUUUGAUUGUAUGCUUGACCCUUAUGGGUGUAAUCAUAAACGUUCUUGAAUGGUUUGGCCGAUGUAUUGCAUGUUAACUCUUGUGUAAUCAUAAACGUUCUUGAAUUGUUUGGCCGAUGUAUUGCAUGUUUACUCUCGUGUAAUCAUAAACGUUCUUGAUUUGCUUGGCCGAUGUAUUGUAUGUUUACUUUUGUGUAUUUUAAACGUUAUUGAAUUGUUUGGCCGAGGUAUUGCAUGUUUUCUUUUGUGCAAUCACAAACGUUCAGGGUUCAACCUCUGCGGUCGUAUAAAGCUGCGCUCUGUGGAGCAUCUGGUCGAUUUUGCCAUAUGAUUAAGGACUUUCCGCUUGAAUUCUUCUCUGAAUUCAUUAUUUUUGGGAUUUACUUUUUAUACUUAUAUUUUUUUAAACUUACCAUUUCCCUUCUUUUUCCUUCAACCAUGUUCUGUCUUCUACAUUAAAUGGAAAACAUCAAGUCAAUACUUUAAAAAGUACACAUUUACUUUUUUACACACAUUUCUUUUAAUUUUGCCAGUAACAUGUCUGAUUUAUUUGCAAGGAUACAAUUAAAUGCCAUAUUUUUAUUGAUAGUGUUGUCGAUGUAACCAUAGUGUUUUCAAAUGAAUGACAUCCUGGGUGUUAUUUUCAUAAACUUUUGUGACGUAUCUGAGACAUAUAUAUAAGCACAACAAUAGUCAGAAUAGUAAUAAUUAUUUCUACGACGGCGUCCCGAAAAAAAAAUCAAACUAGGCUAGCAACAGCUUUAAAUUCCGCAGCUUACAUUGAAUUUAGAUGUUUGAUAUUAGAUUGUCAACCUAUAAAUAGUUCCUUGAAAUAUA